rnacentral:rRNA from 1 species
GGCGAACGCUGGCGGCGUGCUUAACACAUGCAAGUCGAACGGAAAGGCCCUGCUUUUGUGGGGUGCUCGAGUGGCGAACGGGUGAGUAACACGUGAGUAACCUGCCCUUGACUUUGGGAUAACUUCAGGAAACUGGGGCUAAUACCGGAUAGGAGCUCCUGCUGCAUGGUGGGGGUUGGAAAGUUUCGGCGGUUGGGGAUGGACUCGCGGCUUAUCAGCUUGUUGGUGGGGUAGUGGCUUACCAAGGCUUUGACGGGUAGCCGGCCUGAGAGGGUGACCGGCCACAUUGGGACUGCGGUACGGCCCAGACUCCUACGGGAGGCAGCAGUGGGGAAUAUUGCACAAUGGGCGGAAGCCUGAUGCAGCAACGCCGCGUGCGGGAUGACGGCCUUCGGGUUGUAAACCGCUUUCGCCUGUGACGAAGCGUGAGUGACGGUAAUGGGUAAAGAAGCACCGGCUAACUACGUG